CUUGAUUUCUUAGGAUCUCAACACUACUACACACUUUUUGGAGGCUAUCAAAACAAAUUAACCGAGGUGAACAUCACAACCGCCUUAGUCCAAAGGUCGUAGUAAAUCAAACUUUUCUGAGGUGGUUCAAAUGCCCGCCUCGGUAAAUGAAAUAAAAAACAAAAAAAGCCCGCAACUAAGUCGAGCUUAGAUUUGGACCUCGUGCUACCGCUGCUACC
rnacentral:lncRNA from 1 species